rnacentral:misc_RNA from 1 species
CAGUGUACAUAGACAGCAGUCAAGGACCUAGUGAUUGAUGGUGCCUGGAGCGGCCUGAAAGCUGCAGCGUUACCUGCGGUCUUCUCUGCCUGUUUCGUGCACCAGCGCUAGGGGCUCUGCUGGCGAAAUUCAGGACGCAAGCGCCACUGGAGAGACGAUAAGACUUGCAUCAUCCAGAAGCACGGAAAAAGAAUGUCAUGAAUCUCUAUGCUUGAGGGACUACAUAUCGAAAUACUGGACAAACAUAAGUGAGACACGGUGAGAUAAGCACGAAAUAUCACACAGAAUGGUACCAAGCUUCUUUUGUCUGACAAGGCUAAACGAAGGCGUUCCUCUCCAGCUUCUGCUACUGUCGCAGUAGCAGCAAAUGGAGUGUACGAAGUCAGUGCGAGGAAACUGUUCCAGAGCUCCUCGCGCGUUGUCUUCAUUCGUGCCUCUCUGGCUUACUUUUUUGGUUUCAUUCAAAUGGGAGCUCCGGGAAACCGAAAGCCUGCGGAUUUAGGCGACGUUCAUUCCUUCACUGGCUGUCUUGAGCGGAAACGGGGCGGACAAACGGAAGUCACCAAGACAAGAGAUACUCUGCAAUGAGAUGAAGUGAAAUAAACGCGUGCUUCA